UCCUGGCGGUGGCCGGCACGGUGCUGGUGGUGCCGGCUACGAGCCGGAGCGGCGGACGGGCGUCGGGUCGUACGACACGUCCUGCCCGGGAC
rnacentral:tRNA from 1 species